UCCCUGGUGGCUCAGAUGGUAAAGAAUCUGCCUGCAAUGCAGGAAACCUGGGUUCGAUUCCUGGGUUGGGAA
rnacentral:tRNA from 1 species